ACUCCUACGGGAGGCAGCAGUGGGGGAAUAUUGCACAAUGGGCGCAAGCCUGAUGCAGCCAUGCCGCGUGUAUGAAGAAGGCCUUCGGGUUGUAAAGUACUUUCAGCAGUGAGGAAGGUGGAUAUGUUAAUAGCAUAUUCAUUUGACGUUAGCUGCAGAAGAAGCACCGGCUAACUCCGUGCCAGCAGCCGCGGUAAUACGGAGGGUGCGAGCGUUAAUCGGAAUUACUGGGCGUAAAGCGCAUGCAGGUGGUUUGUUAAGUCAGAUGUGAAAGCCCGGGGCUCAACCUCGGAAUUGCAUUUGAAACUGGCAAACUAGAGUACUGUAGAGGGGGGGUAGAAUUUCAGGUGUAGCGGUGAAAUGCGUAGAGAUCUGAAGGAAUACCGGUGGCGAAGGCGGCCCCCUGGACAGAUACUGACACUCAGAUGCGAAAGCGUGGGGAGCAAACAGGAUUAGAUACCCUGGUAGGCUCU
rnacentral:rRNA from 1 species